rnacentral:rRNA from 1 species
UACGGAAGGCAGCAGUGGGGAAUAUUGCACAAUGGGCGCAAGCCUGAUGCAGCCAUGCCGCGUGUAUGAAGAAGGCCUUCGGGUUGUAAAGUACUUUCAGUCGUGAGGAAGGUGUUAAGGUUAAUAACCUUAGCAAUUGACGUUAGCGACAGAAGAAGCACCGGCUAACUCCGUGCCAGCAGCCGCGGUAAUACGGAGGGUGCGAGCGUUAAUCGGAAUUACUGGGCGUAAAGGGCACGCAGGCGGUUAAUUAAGUUGGAUGUGAAAUCCCCGGGCUUAACCUGGGAAUGGCAUUCAAGACUGGUUAGCUAGAGUCUUGUAGAGGGGGUAGAAUUCCAUGUGUAGCGGUGAAAUGCGUAGAGAUGUGGAGGAAUACCGGUGGCGAAGGCGGCCCCUGGGACAAAGACUGACGCUCAUGUGCGAAAGCGUGGGGAGCGAAACAGGGA